AAAUCUUUAUUUUCUAUUUACCUAUUACAAAUGGAUUAUAGUAUAAUAAUGAUGUAUUGUUAUCAACAAAGUUUAAUAGUAACAAUAGUAAAACAUGAAGUCAAAUCAUAGAACAGCAAUCCGUACAUAAUGUUCUACUUAACUAUAUAAACCUACAACCAUUCCAACUAUGAGCUACAUGUAUAUAUAUAAUUAAUAAACAAUUAUCUUAAACAACACAUGGAAUUACGUAUUUCUGCUAUAUAUAGUAACAUGAUAAUGUCACGUGACUCAAUAUAGCGAAUUAUAUUGUCACGUGACUAUGUCGCACAUGCUCAUGAUAUAAAUUUCUUUAUACAAGCAAUUUUUAAAACAUACAAUUGUUCAAUUAGAAUAUUAACGCAAAUGAAUGUUUAAAAAUUAUAAUGCUAACAUUAUCUAAUUUCCUCAUGUUAUAAUUUCAAGACGUCAUGAUCACUGCGCACUAAAGCGAUUUAAUUCACGUUGAUAUACAGAACACUUAAACAUAUUCAUGUUGCCCAACUGAGCACUAAAUGCGUAUUCAUGUUGAUCAACUAAACACUAAAAGCGUAUUCACAUUGAUUUUCAGAACAGCUUUAAAGCUACAUGCCUCCAGAUGGACAAAAUAUUUCAAUGAAAUUAAACUUGAGAAAAAUGUACUAAGAUGUAAGGAAAAGUAAAAAGUUUUAAGAUCCGAGUUAUAUUUUACAUAUUAAUGACUGAUUUUUCAGUAUUUACAACUAUAUUUUUGCAGCGUUACUAACGCAGUAAAUGCUAUUUAAGCAUAUUAUGACCACUUUUUGUUCACUUUUUGUUAAUUAACGUGGUUUGUAAGUACCAUUGAUAAAGUGUAAAUUGCAUCUUUUUAGCUACUUCACAAUAUUGCACAUUCUAAUACAUUUUCAAAGUUUUCAUGACAAUUAGCAUAAAUCUGGAGGCGUGCUGCUUUAAGAGAUUAAUACACGGCAGAGUAGGGCCGGAAGGUGAUAAUCGGCCCGCAAAAUGAAUAAUGGCCGGAGGCUUUAGCCCGAGGGCAUUAUUCAUUCAGGGCCGAUUAUCACCUUCUGGCACAACUAUGACGUGUAUUAAUGUCUUUAAUACACUUGGUAGAUCUUAUAGUAGCAAUUUUCUAAAAAAAUACUUUGAUAUUUCUUUCGUCUGUACUUCUACUGUACUGUACAGAACUUUACUUCUUCAGAGUUGUUUACUUUUUAUGUGUACAAAGUACACUAGAAUCUAGAAGCAAGUAUUAUUUUCAUUUUUUUUUCGGAAUGAAUUUGUCGUAUUAUUUUUUUAAAUUUCAAUAGUUAAAAAAACUGUGUAAGCUCUCAUAUUAAAAUCAAGCGAUUCGUGCUAAAAACCUACUUUAAAUGUUUGAAGACGUGAAAUCUGACGUCAUUGUUUCAGUUUGUGCACCUACAUUAGUUCUGCGGGCUGAUAACUAGUUCUCGGCCCCGGGCCGCAAACUCAGGUCACGUGACACUCAUCAUGGGCAAUUUUGUUACUAUAUAUAGUAACAAGUGUAUUAAUAUCGUUUUCUUGUUGACCAACCGAACACACAAAAAGCUUAUUCACGUUGAUCAAAUUCAGCACUGUAUUUACGUUGAUCAGCCUAUUGGCAUACCAUUGUUAGCAGAAUACAAGAUCUACCCAUUCAUUGACAAAAAAUGUAGACCAAAUCAGACCCACUCAUCUGUACAGUCUUGCAAUACUUUUUUAAUGCUGCCUACACAAUUCAGUAAUUCAAGCUUCAUAUCCCUGAACUAACCAAUGCAAGAAGUCAAAUUUAAAGCAAGUCUAAUUCAUUUACAUAGAAACAGCGAACAUCCUUUUAGUUAUAUACGUCUGGUCCCUCUUAACUUUUGGAAAUUUGAAAUAAACUUAAAUCAAUAUAUCAGUGUGGUCUUUGCCUGUUUAAAAUAAAACAAAAUUAAGAUACAAGACAAUAAAAAGAUGAAAGGUGGGAACGUGAAAUUCCAAAUUUACUUCCAACUUACUUGGCAUGUAUUCUUGCUAAAAUGAUACAUAAUGUUCAAUUUAUGUUACUAUAGUGUAAAAUAGUUAAAAGUGUUUUUUUUUAUCUGUAAUAUAUCAUUGCCCUGGUAAUAAAAAGGUGAAAAAAAUAUUUUGAAAAAUGGGUGAAUAUUAAAAAGUGAAAAACGGUAUAAUUAAAAACGCCCAAAACGGCAAAUUUGAAAAAAAAAUGUUACAGGUCCGUUCAUGGACGGUAGUGAUAAAGAAAAGCCACCAUCCAUGCCCCUUAGCACCGGCUUAAGCAGAACUAACCUUUAAAUAU